rnacentral:rRNA from 1 species
CCCUUAGAUGUUCUGGGCCGCACGCGCGCUACACUGACGAUGGCAACGAGUUUUUCCUUCGCCGAAAGGUGUGGGUAAUCUUUUGAAACAUCGUCGUGCUGGGGAUAGAUCAUUGCAAUUUUUGAUCUUGAACGAGGAAUUCCUAGUAAGCGCGAGUCAUCAGCUCGCGUUGAUUACGUCCCUGCCCUUUGUACACACCGCCCGUCGCUACUACCGAUUGAAUGGUUUAGUGAGGACUCCUGAUUGGCGCCGCCGCCCCGGCAAUGGAGCAGCGGACUGCCGAAAAGUUGUUCAAACUUGAUCAUUUAGAGGAAGUAAAAGUCGUAACA